ensembl:snRNA U6 U6 spliceosomal RNA
GUGCUUGCUUCGGCAGCAUAUACACUAACAUUGGAACGAUACAGAGAAGAUUAGCAUGGCCCGUGCACAAGGAUGACAUGCAAAUUCGUGAAGAGUUCCAUAUUUAA